rnacentral:rRNA from 1 species
UUUAAAGUGUAAAUUUAAGUAUCAAACUAGUAUUAGGUAUGAUCUUGAAAAUUAAAAGUUUUGGCGGUAUUUUAGUCUUUUUAGAGGAACCUGUUCUGUGAUUGAUAGUCCACGAUGAACUUUACUUGAUCUAAGUUUGUAUAUCGUCGUUUUUAAGUGUUUUAUAAGAAUAAUAAUUUUUAGAAUUUAGUAUAAUAAAAUAUUUCAGAUCAAGAUGCAGCUUAUGUUUAAGAAGAAAUGGGUUACAAUAAAGGUAUUUAAACGGAUUUUAUUAUGAAAUAGUGGAUGAAGGUGGAUUUAAAAGUAAUUAAUUUUAGGAAGAUUUAGUGAUUUAAGCUCUAGAAUGUGU